rnacentral:rRNA from 1 species
UACGGAGGGGGCUAGCGUUGUUCGGAAUUACUGGGCGUAAAGCGCACGUAGGCGGCUUUGUAAGUUAGAGGUGAAAGCCCAGGGCUCAACCCUGGAAUUGCCUUUAAGACUGCAUCGCUUGAAUCAUGGAGAGGUGAGUGGAAUUCCGAGUGUAGAGGUGAAAUUCGUAGAUAUUCGGAAGAACACCAGUGGCGAAGGCGACUCACUGGACAUGUAUUGACGCUGAGGUGCGAAAGCGCGGGGAGCAAACAGG